rnacentral:rRNA from 1 species
UACGUAGGUGGCAAGCGUUGUCCGGAUUUAUUGGGUUUAAAGGGUGCGUAGGUGGCUAACUAAGUCAGUGGUGAAAUAUCUCAGCUUAACUGAGAGGGCGCCAUUGAUACUGGAUAGCUUGAGUACAGAUGAGGUAGGCGGAAUUGACGGUGUAGCGGUGAAAUGCAUAGAUAUCGUCAAGAACACCGAUAGCGAAGGCAGCUUACCAAGCUGUAACUGACACUGAGGCACGAAAGUGUGGGGAUCAAACAGG